GUCUACGGCCAUACCACCCUGAAGGCGUCUCAUCUUGUCUGACCUGGGAAGCUAACCAGGGUCCGACCUGGUUAGUACUUGGAUGGGAGAAAAUACCUGCGGCCUGGUCU
rnacentral:rRNA from 1 species